UACGUAGGCGGCAAGCGUUAUCCGGAGUUACUGGGUGUAAAGGGCGUGUAGGCGGGGAUGUAAGUCAGAUGUGAAAUUUCGGAGCUCAACUCCGAAGCUGCAUCUGAAACUAUGUCUCUUGAGUACUGGAGAGGAAAGUGGAAUUCCUAGUGUAGCGGUGAAAUGCGUAGAUAUUAGGAGGAACACCAGUGGCGAAGGCGACUUUCUGGACAGUAACUGACGCUGAGGCGCGAAAGCGUGGGGAGCAAACAGGAUUAGAUACCCUGGUAGUCCACGCCGUAAACGAUGGAUACUAGGUGUAGGGGGUAUCGACCCCCCCUGUGCCGGAGUUAACACAAUAAGUAUCCCACCUGGGGAGUACGACCGCAAGGUUGAA
rnacentral:rRNA from 1 species